AUGAACGCUGGCGGCGUGCCUAAUACAUGCAAGUCGAGCGAACAGACGAGGAGCUUGCUCCUCUGACGUUAGCGGCGGACGGGUGAGUAACACGUGGAUAACCUACCUAUAAGACUGGGAUAACUUCGGGAAACCGGAGCUAAUACCGGAUAAUAUAUUGAACCGCAUGGUUCAAUAGUGAAAGACGGUUUUGCUGUCACUUAUAGAUGGAUCCGCGCCGCAUUAGCUAGUUGGUAAGGUAACGGCUUACCAAGGCAACGAUGCGUAGCCGACCUGAGAGGGUGAUCGGCCACACUGGAACUGAGACACGGUCCAGACUCCUACGGGAGGCAGCAGUAGGGAAUCUUCCGCAAUGGGCGAAAGCCUGACGGAGCAACGCCGCGUGAGUAUGAAGGUCUUCGGAUCGUAAAACUCUGUUAUUAGGGAAGAACAAAUGUGUAAGUAACUAUGCACGUCUUGACGGUACCUAAUCAGAAAGCCACGGCUAACUACGU
rnacentral:rRNA from 1 species